rnacentral:rRNA from 1 species
CCAUCUUUGCGUGUCUUGGAGUCGGGUUGUUUGGGAUCGCAGCCCAAAGUAGGUGGUAAACUUCAUCUAAGACUGAAUAUGACUACGAGUCCGAUAGCGAACAAGUACCGUGAGGGAAAGUUGCAAAGCACUUUGAAGAGAGAGUUAAAGAGGACGUGAAACCGAUGAGGUGGAAACGGACAGAGCUGGCGUAUCUGGCCUGUAUUCAGCCGUGCGUCCGUUGGCGUCAGGGAUGCCGCUCUCCAGAUUGGGACGGUGGCCUGUCUGCUGGCGGAUGUGUGGUGCAUUUGCAGGUGGAGUGCGCUGAGGCGCUCGGGUCAGCGGCAUGAGCUCAGUGUUGAGGCCAGCCCCUCACGGGGUCUGGUACCCGCAUUGUGGGGAGUGCUGUUUGUCCUGGGUGUGUGGAGGGCAAUGGUUUCGGGUUCGUGUGGGUGCCGAGCUGGCAGUCGGUGGCGGUCGCGUGCGACACGUGCCAGCGGUCAGUUCGGUCCUGCUCGAGCUCUCAUCUGCUCGUCCUCGGUGUAAAAGCCGGU